AGUGAACGCUGGCGAUAGGCCUAACACAUGCAAGUCGAACGGCAGCACAGUAAGAGCUUGCUCUUACGGGUGGCGAGUGGCGGACGGGUGAGGAAUACAUCGGAAUCUACUUUUUCGUGGGGGAUAACGUAGGGAAACUUACGCUAAUACCGCAUACGACCUACGGGUGAAAGCAGGGGAUCUUCGGACCUUGCGCGAUUGAAUGAGCCGAUGUCGGAUUAGCUAGUUGGCGGGGUAAAGGCCCACCAAGGCGACGAUCCGUAGCUGGUCUGAGAGGAUGAUCAGCCACACUGGAACUGAGACACGGUCCAGACUCCUACGGGAGGCAGCAGUGGGGAAUAUUGGACAAUGGGCGCAAGCCUGAUCCAGCCAUACCGCGUGGGUGAAGAAGGCCUUCGGGUUGUAAAGCCCUUUUGUUGGGAAAGAAAAGCAGCAGGUUAAUACCCCGCUGUUCUGACGGUACCCAAAGAAUGAGCACCGGCUAACUUCGUG
rnacentral:rRNA from 1 species